UUGGCCAUAUCACAUUGAACACAUUGGUUCUCAUCUGAUCACCAGAGUUAAGCAAUGUUGAGCCUGGUUAGUACUUAGAUGGGUGACUACUUGGGAAUACCAGGUACAGU